GGGUGGCUAGCUCAGCUGGCAGAGCAACGGACUCUUAAUCCGUGGGUCCAGGGU
rfam:Lactobacillus kefiranofaciens subsp. kefirgranum DSM 10550 = JCM 8572 strain DSM 10550 NODE_3, whole genome shotgun sequence.